rnacentral:tRNA from 1 species
GCCUGCGGUAGCUUAUGUGGUAGAGCGGGUGUCUGAAGCACACCAGGAGCGGAUUCGAACGCCGCCCCAGGCACCA